UUUAAAAAUGGUGAUUCAUAGUAAGGUUGGAAAUCGUAUGGGGAGCAAUCCUGACGAUGUAUCAUUCAAAUUUCUGCCCUAUCAACUUUGGAUGGUAGUAUAGAGGACUACCAUGGUGAUAACGGGUAACGGAGAAUUAGGGGUUUGAUUCCGGAGAGGGAGCCUGAGAAAUGGCUACCACUUCUAAGGAGGGCAGCAGGCGCGCAAAAUUACCCCAAUCCCUAAAUACAGGGGAGGUAGUGACAAUAAAUAACAAUGUAGGAAUGAUAAAUUUUACAAUUGGAAUGAGAACAAUUAAACCCCUUAACGAGUAACAAUUAGAGGGCAAGUCUGGUGCCAGCAGCCGCGGUAAUUCCAGCUCUAAUAGCGUAUAUUAAAGUUGUUGCAGUUAAAAAGCUCGUAGUUGGAUUUUAGUGGGUUAUUUUAGAUAAUUGGUCGGAUAGGAAACUAUUACUUGUACUAGUUAUCUACCCACUUUUACUUACUGGUUACUCGACUCUGUAC
rnacentral:rRNA from 1 species